GGCGGACGGGUGAGUAACGCGUGGGCAACCUGCCUCAUACCGGGGGAUAGCAGUUGGAAACGACUGAUAAUACCGCAUAAGCGCACAGAGUCGCAUGACUCAGUGUGAAAAACUCCGGUGGUAUGAGAUGGGCCCGCGUCAGAUUAGCCAGUUGGCAGGGUAACGGCCGUACCAAAGCGACGAUCUGUAGCCGGCCUGAGAGGGCGGACGGCCACAUUGGGACUGAGACACGGCCCAAACUCCUACGGGAGGCAGCAGUGGGGGAUAUUGCACAAUGGGGGAAACCCUGAUGCAGCGACGCCGCGUUGGAGUGAAGAAGUAUUUCGGUAUGUAAAGCUCUAUCAGCAGGGAAGAAAGGCUCUUCGGAGAGAUGACGGUACCUGACUAAGAAGCCCCGGCUAACUACGUGCCAGCCGCCGC
rnacentral:rRNA from 1 species